rnacentral:ribozyme from 1 species
UGCCCAGCACCUCCUAUCCCUACCUCCUCGCGGUACUGGCCGGGGUACGACUAACCUUGGAAGAUCGG